GAUUCUGAUAUCUCUCUCUACCUCCUCUCUAUAUAUUGCAGAUAUAUACGCGUAAGAAUUAAGAACAAAGAAUUGGAAAAUCAAAGGGAAACGAGUUUAAGGCCAAGCCAAGAAGAUGAUAAGAUUUUGAACGCAUGCAUGCAGAUGAAUGAAUGAAUCUUCUAAACACUAUUUGUGAUUAUAUGAAUUGUAAAUAGAUUCAUAAAAACCAUAUACUAAUCAAGCCCUAGUUAGUUUUGAUUUGUAGCCUAUAUAAUAGGCGUAGAAGAAAGAGAUAAAUUAAAGAAGAAGAAGAGGAAGAUCU